GUCUCUGUAGUAUACUCAAUACAUUAGUCUUGUAAACUAACAAAGGAGUCAUUAAACCUCCCUGAGACU
rnacentral:tRNA from 1 species